rnacentral:rRNA from 1 species
UACAGAGGUCUCAAGCGUUGUUCGGAUUCAUUGGGCGUAAAGGGCGCGUAGGCGGCGGGGUCAGUCGGGUGUGAAAUCUUGGGGCUUAACCCCGAAACGGCACUCGAAACUGCCCGGCUGGAGGGCCGGAGAGGAGAUCGGAAUUCACGGUGUAGCAGUGAAAUGCGUAGAGAUCGUGAGGAAGACCCGUGGCGAAGGCGGGUCUCUGGACGGCUAAAACUGACGCUGAGGCGCGAAGGCCAGGGGAGCAAACGGG